AACGAACGCUGGCGGCAUGCCUAACACAUGCAAGUCGAACGAGACCUUCGGGUCUAGUGGCGCACGGGUGCGUAACGCGUGGGAACCUGCCCUUAGGUUCGGAAUAACUCCCCGAAAGGGGUGCUAAUACCGGAUAAUGUCUUCGGACCAAAGAUUUAUCGCCUUUGGAUGGGCCCGCGUUGGAUUAGCUAGUUGGUAGGGUAAAAGCCUACCAAGGCGACGAUCCAUAGCUGGUCUGAGAGGAUGAUCAGCCACACUGGGACUGAGACACGGCCCAGACUCCUACGGGAGGCAGCAGUGGGGAAUAUUGGACAAUGGGCGAAAGCCUGAUCCAGCAAUGCCGCGUGAGUGAUGAAGGCCUUAGGGUUGAAAAGCUCUUUUACCCGGGAUGAUAAUGACAGUACCGGGAGAAUAAGCGCCGGCUAACUCCGUG
rnacentral:rRNA from 1 species